rnacentral:rRNA from 1 species
GGCAGACAUUUCUUCUGCCACCGAAUACAUUAGCAUGGGAUAAUGGAAUAGGACCCUGUCCUCCUAUUUUACGUGUUGGUUUUCGAGGACCGGGUAAUGAUUAAUAGGGAUAGUUGGGGGCAUUAAUAUUUAAUUGUCAGAGGUGAAAUUCUUGGAUUUAUGAAAGAUUGACUUCUGCGAAAGCAUCUGCCAAGGAUGUUUUCAUUAAUCAAGAACGAAAGUUAGGGGAUCGAAGACGAUCAGAUACCGUCGUAGUCUUAACCAUAAACGAUGCCGACCAGCGAUUAGGAGACGUUGAAUACAAAACACCACCGUUGGGUCGUGGCGGGCCGUGCCCCGCGGUCCGUCGUGCGCGGCGACGCGUGCGGCGGCCACGGGGACCGCGGUCCGUAUCAGCCACCCGACGGCCCGGUGAAUGACUCCCCUAGCAGCUUGUGAGAA